AAACAUUUAUUCUUCAUCAAUAUGUUAAGGGUUCAUUAGCGUGAGUUUUGAAUAAUUUGAAAUUUAAAAUUUUCCCCGUUUUAAUUUCUGACAGUAAAUAUUAACAUAUAAAACCCAUAUGAACAGAAGAUCUUUGGUGUCCUCAGUAAUUUCAGUUACGUAAACUAGUCUUGAGACCAAGAUUUGAGAAGCAUCGUCCUAAAAGGCCACAAGAAGGGUUCUGAAAACUGAGACAAAAGACAGCAGGCUCCCCUUUCGCUGCCCUGGCUAGCGAACACUCACCCGUACUGGGACUCUGGGACGCUCUCUCCCCCAUGCCCUGCUCCCCUCUUUCGGUCCCUGACCCUGAACCUCCCCUAUAGGCCCCCCGUCGCCCUGAGCCUGGUCUCCGCUCAGAUCUCAGCCCUGGCCCAGCCUGGAUCCCUGGACAUGAUUCCCGUCAUUCCUAUGGAGACCCGUGGGUAUCGGUUUACCCAGGGGAGGAGGGGACACAUGGGAGGGAAGCACGGUGGUCGUCUGGCCCAGACGGCGGUCGGGGUGGAGGGGCCGCAACGCCGCCAGCCUGGGCUUCCCUCCGGCCCCAGCUCCGGGCCCCUGACCGGCCUGCCCGCGCCCUGGGGACUGGUCCCCGGAGUCCAGGGUCGCCGUCGGCACGACCGCCCUCUGCCAUCAGGGCUGGCUUUCUCGGGCUCUGGGAGGAUCCCCAGCCCGGUGGGUUCGCCGCCCCACGCUCACCGGCCCCUGCCCGCUCCUGGAGCCGACAGAGCGCGAAGCUCUGGGCGCAGUUCCCUAAGGCCACGUGGCGGGGCGGCGCCCACCGCGCGCAGGCGCAGCAGACGGGGCUGCCGCGGAGGGCUCCGAGUCUGCGCAGUAGAGGCGGGGCCGGCUCUCCAAGCCCACCCUGCACGCGGGGUGGGGCGGCCUCACAGCGGGCAGGGUCAGCAUCCUGCGUUCUCUCCAACUCUGAUAAGCUUUGGGAAAGCGGAAUGCCGCCCACCGCAGACGACAAAAGCCGCCUUCCUCUGGGAGUCUCCCCACGUGAGAAACAACCACUGA
rnacentral:lncRNA from 1 species